UGCUUGUUAAACCACAUACUGGUUACAGGUGUCUGACUUUCUCAGUCGGCUGAUUCAAACUAGGAUAUCUUCGCAGGUGGGUGUUUCUGCCGUGGAAGACGGAUUUGAUAUGUGAAAAGAAGUUUUCAUAGUUAAGGAUCAUCAGUGCACCUGCGACUCUGGAAAGCUACUGCCAACAGAAGACUGCGGAAAACAAUAAAGAGGUGCAGAAAAACAUCCAAACCAGAAAUACAGGCUCGAGCUACAGAAGUCUGCUCCAGCGCUCCGACUCUGUUGGAAGCAGCUUCUCCAAUGGUGAAAAAGAAGCAGAGAGAAUGAAGGGGCCACUUUGCCACGUCAUCCCCACAAGAGACACGUUCACAGUUGGAUGUUAUAGGCUCCUCUCCUUCUGCGCUGCAUUCUGUUAGCGUACCUGCAACGUGGCCUGUGGUUUCCACCUGCCAUCCACAGUAUGACGCCCCCACCUGGCCACCCGGUGUCUUCACUGACAGGUGAGGACAAAGAUCCCGCGGAGAGCGAGCCUUUGCACGUGGCAUCAGGUUUAACAAGCUGUCACCAGGCUUUAGGGGAUGGAGUAAUGAUGGAGAGUGUGUGUGUGUGUGUGUGUGCGUGAGUGUGUGUGUGUGGGACACUGCAGGAACACAGGAGGCGCCUGGACCUGUUUCCAGUUAAAAGCAGAAGCCCCCACAACAAAGGCCCCGGCCGGGGGAGUCGUAACGAGGAGAAUAUCAUUUUUCUCUGGCCUCUGUGAUCUACCGUUCUUACGUUUCACUUUCAAAGCUCUGCUCGCUGGCAGAAGUCCUCAGCUCCGCAUCUCUGAUGGAAAGAAGGAUCGCUGCCCUCCGCCUCUUCUCACCUCACCUCCCUUCCCUCUCUUCUUACACAAAAAAGAGAAAGAAAGAAAUUAGAAAAAAAUUCCCCACAUGCCCGUCUUACUGGCCAUGGCUGAUAAAAGAAGCAUGGAUGUGUUGGAAGCCAUAUUUCUCUGUCAGCCCGGCUAUAAGGAGUUCCUGCAGUAAUCCCCGACAGGCUAUUUAAGGCCCGUGGCUUCCUGGAAAAGAUCUCUUUAGGAAACCCUUUUCUCGUGCCCACUAGGGGGGAAAUUCUCAUCCUCCAUCCCCUGCCAGCCAUUACCAGCCAUUACCAGAGAUGCGCUGGAACAAGGUGGAUUUAGUACUUUGGGGUCCCUCAACUUAUAAAGAAAUGUAUAAUCGUGAAAGGAAACAAUAA